rnacentral:lncRNA from 1 species
GCAAUUUUACUUCUUGUCUUCAAAAAUUAAAUUAUUUUCUGUAUGAGACAAUACAUUAUUGCUGUCUGUCAGGCAGGUGAGCAAAAAUAUCAGCUAUAAUUAUGUUCAUAGCUUCAGCUUUGGCAUUCUAGUUAAUCUGAAAAACACUCAUUUUCCUAGGCGAUGUUAUGUAACCAGGACUUAGAGUCUGCCAUGGUUCACUGUCAGGUUUUGUCCUACUUAAAUUUCAGCAAGGAGUGUUACGUGACAACUGUGAACAUAUUGCUUUGCCCUGUGUCUGCAAGAGGGAGGCUUUAAAGAGUCUAACAUUUGUCAGAUGAAGCUAUUAUCAGAGGAAACUAUUUUUAGCUUCCUGUUCAUAACUCCAUAUUUCAGUUUUCAGGUGGUGGUGUUAAUAUUAUGCUCUCUGUUUCAACAGAGAAGAGUUUAAGGAUUGUCUCCCCAAACUGAGAAAAUCAACAUGACCCAGGCUGGAGUGCAGUGGUGCAAUCCCGGCUCACUACAACCUCUACCUCCCGGGUUCAAGCAAUUCUCUUGCCUCAGACUCCCGAGUAGCUGGAAUUACAGGUGUUGGAAAAACAGUUCGCAGAGUGCAAGGGUUUGGAAGCGCAGCAGACCAAUUCCAGGCUCCUUCACUCACUUGGAAUUGCAUCGGCUCCUGGGAGGCCAGCUGUGCAGAUUCAAGGAGCACUGUGCAGGGAGCAUUCCUGUGUGCUGGCGGAUUCCUAGUGCCCCACCCCAGGACAAGGCCCAUCGGUUCAAAUAAAAACAAUUUUCAAGAGAUUUUCUGGAAUUAUGAAGACCUGAUAAAGAUUACAUGCUGUCAUCAGAGAGUUUCUUGCAGAAAAAGAAGGACCCAUUUUUCAGUCAACAAGCUACACAAACCAAUAAAAGUGUUCAAUGAAUGUUUGUGGAGUGCUUCAUCAUUUACUUUGCAUGCAUGGAUACUAGACUUGCUCCAGCUGCAGUCUCCUCGCCUUCCCUGUGUUCCAUACAAGAGCCUUGUCUUGGCCAGAACAAUAAGGCAGGGACCUGACCCCUGUCCACACCUCCUCUGCCCUGGGCUGGGUGCCCAGCGUUCCUGCAGGCAGCAUCUCAUGCAUCAUUAG